UACGUAGGGUGCGAGCGUUAAUCGGAAUUACUGGGCGUAAAGCGUGCGCAGGCGGUUCGUUGUGUCGGCGGUGAAAGCCCCGGGCUUAACCUGGGAAUGGCCGUCGAAACUGGCGAACUGGAGUGUGGCAGAGGGGGGUGGAAUUCCGCGUGUAGCAGUGAAAUGCGUAGAGAUGCGGAGGAACACCGAUGGCGAAGGCAGCCCCCUGGGCUGACACUGACGCUCAGGCACGAAAGCGUGGGGAGCAAACAGG
rnacentral:rRNA from 1 species